GGGUAGCACAGUUGGUUAGGGCAUGAUGCUGGUAACACCAAGGUUGCAGGUUUGAUCCCCAUAUGGAACA